UUUAAAUGGCCGCAGUAUUUUAACUGUGCAAAGGUAGCAUAGUCAUUAGUCUUUUAAUUGAAGGCUUGUAUGAAUGGUUGGACGAAAUAUUAACUGUUUCAUAAUAAUUUUAUUUAGAAUUUAAUUUUUUAGUAAAAAAGCUAAAAUUUUUUUAAAAGACGAGAAGACCCUAUAAAUCUUUAUAUUGGAAUUAUUAUUAUUAUUUAGAGAUUUUUUAUAUUAAUAAUUAAUAAUAUUUUAUUGGGGUGAUAUUAAAAUUUAAUAAACUUUUAAUUUUAAGAAUCAUUAAUUUAUGAUUAAAUGAUCCAAAUUUUUUGAUUAAAAAUAUAAGUUACUUUAGGGAUAACAGCGUAAUUUUUUUAGAGAGUUCAUAUUGAUAAAAAAGAUUGCGACCUCGAUGUUGGAUUAAGAUAUUAUUUUAGGUGUAGUUGCUUAAAUUUU
rnacentral:rRNA from 1 species